UGGUCGCAGUUGACGCAGUUAGACUCACUUGGAACUUUAUUUCGGGCCUUCACUGGUUUUUAGAGUUCGUUGGAUAUAAGUUAUGAUUUUACGCCAGACAAAAUGACAGCUCGGGUCACUAAAGUUUACGCUGAAUUCUUCUACCAACAACUAAAUUCUAAUAUCCGGGAAUUUAUCCUGCAAAAAUCACUUGCACGUUUGUAUAUGCAUUACGUGAAGAAACAGCUGAUAAAUAAUAAUGAAUAGGUGUUCGUCCUACAAUAGUUUCGCCUUACCUGAGCAGCCACGUGCGACAGUGGAAGGAAGCUGACGAG